rnacentral:rRNA from 1 species
AGUGAACGCUGGCGGUAGGCCUAACACAUGCAAGUCGAACGGCAGCACAGUAAGAGCUUGCUCUUACGGGUGGCGAGUGGCGGACGGGUGAGGAAUACAUCGGAAUCUACUUUUUCUUGGGGGAUAACGUAGGGAAACUUACGCUAAUACCGCAUACGACCUACGGGUGAAAGCAGGGGAUCUUCGGACCUUGCGCGAUUGAAUGAGCCGAUGUCGGAUUAGCUGGUUGGCGGGGUAAAGGCCCACCAAGGCGACGAUCCGUAGCUGGUCUGAGAGGAUGAUCAGCCACACUGGAACUGAGACACGGUCCAGACUCCUACGGGAGGCAGCAGUGGGGAAUAUUGGACAAUGGGCGCAAGCCUGAUCCAGCCAUACCGCGUGGGUGAAGAAGGCCUUCGGGUUGUAAAGCCCUUUUGUUGGGAAAGAAAAGCAGCAGGUUAAUACCCCGCUGUUCUGACGGUACCCAAAGAAUAAGCACCGGCUAACUUCGUG